CACGGGGGGAGCAAGCGUUGUUCGGAAUCACUGGGCGUAAAGGGCGUGUAGGCGGUCAGGUAAGUGGGACGUGAAAUGCCUCGGCUCACCCGAGGAGCGGCGUCCCAUACUGCUUGGCUUGAGUACGGGAGAGGAUGUGGGAAUUCCUGGUGUAGCGGUGAAAUGCGUAGAUAUCAGGAGGAACACCGGUGGCGAAGGCGCACAUCUGGCCCGAUACUGACGCUGAGGCGCGAAAGCUAGGGGAGCAAACAGG
rnacentral:rRNA from 1 species